UGCUAUGAAUGGGCAGAGAGGGGUGUGCUCUCACAGACACAAUCGCAGCAGUGAGAUGAGGAGUGCCAUCUACCCCGCUGCACGUCUGCCGAACUGAGAGAAGAGGAGAAAGGGAAGACGGGAGGAAAGGAGCCACACAAUCAGCGUUUUCCAGAGGAUAUCAUCCAUCUUAAUCCUCCAUCAGCACUGAACGUCUCCUGAGAACAAACAGCCAGCCAUGGAGCAGAAGACAAAUGAGAGUCCCACCACCACCUCUCCCCAGAAGCACAUGAAGAACAGGUCCAAGUCCACAGAGGAGAUGCAACAGUCGAAGAAGGCCUUUUCCUCACAAAAAUCACUCCCAGGCAGACCAGAACUGGACAGAGUGAAGGAGUGUCCCGACGGCUCUGACAUGCCCUCGCCCUCCACUGAAGAACUAAAGUGACUGAAAAAUUAAAGGAUCAAUAGGACAAUAGAGCUGCCAUCAAGCGACAACAUCAUCAUACAUACAUAAAACAUGUUACACACAUAAAAAUGUACAUAUGUACACAGGGAAACAUGCAAAAAUAUUUAGGAUAAUAGUGAACUAGAUUAGAACAUAUGCAAGCAAUGAUGUGAUCGGUUGAAGGAAACUGUAUAAAAAUUGGUAAAUUGAACACACACACAAACUCAUGCAGUCUGAGACAAUUGCAUGUAAACACAAGGACACCCAUGAUGAUGCUGUUUCAUUGUACUGUGAGUGUCAUAUACAUACCAAACUGAAUGUGUAUUGACAAUUAAUGUGUAUUGACAAUAAAG